AUACGGAGGCUGCGAGCGUUAAUCGGAAUUACUGGGCGUAAAGCGUACGUAGGCGGUUGGUUAAGUUAGAUGUGAAAGCCCCGGGCUUAACCUGGGAACUGCAUUUAAAACUGGCGAACUAGAGUUGAGUAGAGGGGAGUGGAAUUUCAGGUGUAGCGGUGAAAUGCGUAGAGAUCUGAAGGAACACCAGUGGCGAAGGCGACUCCCUGGACUCGAACUGACGCUGAGGUACGAAAGCGUGGGUAGCAAACGGGAUUAGAAACCCUUGUAGUCC
rnacentral:rRNA from 1 species